AGAAAGUUGCCUGAUUAAAGGAGUAUUCUGAUAGAAUAUCUAAAGUAAAAAAAAUUACCCUUUCUA
rnacentral:tRNA from 1 species